rnacentral:rRNA from 1 species
GACGAACGCUGGCGGCGUGCUUAACACAUGCAAGUCGAACGAAGAGCGAUGGAAGCUUGCUUCUAUCAAUCUUAGUGGCGAACGGGUGAGUAACGCGUAAUCAACCUGCCCUUCAGAGGGGGACAACAGUUGGAAACGACUGCUAAUACCGCAUACGAUCUAACCUCGGCAUCGAGGAUAGAUGAAAGGUGGCCUCUACAUGUAAGCUAUCACUGAAGGCGGGGAUUGCGUCUGAUUAGCUAGUUGGAGGGGUAACGGCCCACCAAGGCGAUGAUCAGUAGCCGGUCUGAGAGGAUGAACGGCCACAUUGGGACUGAGACACGGCCCAGACUCCUACGGGAGGCAGCAGUGGGGAAUCUUCCGCAAUGGACGAAAGUCUGACGGAGCAACGCCGCGUGAGUGAUGACGGCCUUCGGGUUGUAAAGCUCUGUUAAUCGGGACGAAAGGCCUUCUUGCGAAUAGUUAGAAGGAUUGACGGUACCGGAAUAGAAAGCCACGGCUAACUACGUG